AAACGACUCUCGGCAACGGAUAUCCCGGCUCUCGCAUCGAUGAAGAACGUAGCGAAAUGCGAUACUUGGUGUGAAUUGCAGAAUCCCGUGAACCAUCGAGUCUUUGAACGCAAGUUGCGCCUGAGGCCUCUAGGCUAAGGGCACGUCUGCCUGGGUGUCACGC
rnacentral:rRNA from 1 species